rnacentral:rRNA from 1 species
UACGGAGGAUGCGAGCGUUAUCCGGAUUUAUUGGGUUUAAAGGGUGCGUAGGCGGAGUGUCAAGUCAGCGGUAAAAUUUCGGGGCUCAACCCCGUCGUGCCGUUGAAACUGACACCCUUGAGUGAGUGAGAAGUAAGCGGAAUGCGUGGUGUAGCGGUGAAAUGCAUAGAUAUCACGCAGAACUCCGAUCGCGAAGGCAGCCUACCGGCGCGCAACUGACGCUCAUGCACGAAAGCGUGGGUAUCGAACAGG